rfam:Gossypium raimondii chromosome 9, whole genome shotgun sequence.
AUUUAGUGAUGAGGGCAUCUACGUAUUAACUCCUUGAAUCUUUCCCAUGCCUCGUAUAAGGACUAGUCAUCCAAUUGUUGAAAAGUGGUGAUCUCAUUUCGCAACUU